GAUGAACGCUGGCGGCGUGCCUAAUACAUGCAAGUCGAGCGGACGGACGAGAAGCUUGCUUCUCUGAUGUUAGCGGCGGACGGGUGAGUAACACGUGGAUAACCUACCUAUAAGACUGGGAUAACUUCGGGAAACCGGAGCUAAUACCGGAUAAUAUUUUGAACCGCAUGGUUCAAAAGUGAAAGACGGUCUUGCUGUCACUUAUAGAUAUAACCGCGCUGCAUUAGCUAGUUGGUAAGGUAACGGCUUACCAAGGCAACGAUGCAUAGCCGACCUGAGAGGGUGAUCGGCCACACUGGAACUGAGACACGGUCCAGACUCCUACGGGAGGCAGCAGUAGGGAAUAUUCCGCAAUGGGCGAAAGCCUGACGGAGCAACGCCGCGUGAGUGAUGAAGGUCUUCGGAUCGUAAAACUCUGUUAUUAGGGAAGAACAUAUGUGUAAGUAACUGUGCACAUCUUGACGGUACCUAAUCAGAAAGCCACGGCUAACUACGUG
rnacentral:rRNA from 1 species